GCUAUAAAAGUUACUCAUAAUAAUUAGACUUGUAAUCUAGUAGAAGAGAGAAACAUCUCUCUUAUAGCU
rnacentral:tRNA from 1 species